AUGAAUUUGCAGUUCAUUAGAAGUCUUAGAUUCAACAUCUUCUUUCUCUUGCUUCUUUCCUUUUUGUAUUAUUUCUGUGAAACAAAAAAACAACAAACAAAAAACCAACAAUGGUGGUGGGUUAAAAUUGAACACAGAAGUUGGGUCGUUGUUGUGUUGUUUCCUGAGAUUGGCGAAGGAAUAUGUUGA